GCUACAGUUGUGAGGCUGCUUAGUAAUGACGUCACUGUGCUUUGUUCUGAGAAAUUAAUCUUAAAAGGGAAUGCAUCCUUUAUAAGGUCACUGUGGUUGUGCAAAUUUAGUAUUCAAGGAGCUUCCUUUCUUCUCUAAGGGUAUUAGAAGGAGUCACAUAAUUAAUGGGGCACUGCUUCAUCACACAAAUUAAAGUGAUAUAGUCACACAAAAAGUAUGCUAAGUCCCGUCACAUAUGACAUGAUGACCUGCUAAUGUGUUUAAAAUAAUUAGCGUGAGAUAUUAGUAGCUGCAGUAGAUAAGAAAUGAAUUUUUUAAGGUACAAAAGUUACUGUGUAAAUAUACUGAUCAAAAUUUGAUUCCUUGCAUUCAAGGUGAUCUUUGGAACAAAUAUGGAAAAAAAAAUCAGUUGUAAUUUUUCUGUAAACAAAAGAAACAAAAACUGCAUUUGGAGAUCAUCUCUUUUGGUAUGGUACCUAUCCUCAUUUUGCAACCUGACACUGUUAUUGUUAUUAAUAUAGGGCUUACUACAAAGUUCUAUCUCCAGCUUUUAUUAUACUCUACAGGUUUCCUUGGGAUUUUACUUGAAAAAGAAGAGGAAACACAAGUGUGUAGCAAUUCAGUGUUUAUACAGUAGGGUUUUUAUGUAACCUCCGCCACCUAGCGGACUACAUGGGAACUCAUGAAAAAUAAUUUCUCCAUGCACCCUCUAAGACAAGUGUUCACAGCUUCUCAUAUCUUCAAGAGAUUUCAUGUCCUUUGCUUUUGUUCAAAUUUUUCAUCCUUAUUCAAUUUCCAUAGGAAUAUGAAGGCUAUCCAGAGGAAAUAACUGCCUUUUGGAAAAGCCUUCUGAAUACUAAAAGAUGUUCUUCAUUCAGAGUCCUUAAUAAUGAUAAGAUGAGCCGGGAGCAGUGGGUCAAGCCUGUAAUCCCAGCAUUUUGGGGGGCCAAGGGGGCUCAAAAUCAGUAUGAGGAGACAAGUGGAGAACAGAUGCUCUCCAAUAGCCUUGAAAACCAACAGCACUGCCAUAAUGGUGAGAAACAGCAGCCUUGAAGCUACUAGACAGGGCAAAGCUGGUUUGGAGCUCCCCAAAAACACUAUUCUCAGAGCACUGUCAUUAUUUGACCUGUCUGGCAUAUUCCUGCAACCUCCAUUGGCAAGACUUGCCUGUAUUUGAUCUUAUUCAGAACUUGCUCAUUGCAAACAACCUUUUUGGAGGGGAGGAGGUGGAAAACAAUAAGCACCAAUUAUUUAACAUUGCCACUGCCUGAGGAGAUGAUAAUGGUGGAACAAACAAGAAACUGACCAAUACACUUAAAGGAAAAGCUGAAUAACGAAAUGUCAAUAGGGGGCUCUGAAAAACUCCAACAUAUUCCUGAAACUCUAGAAAGCCAUGCAGAAGCACACAGAAGGCUGUAUACACGCCAAAGGCCACUUGAAGACCUAGGAAAGAUCUAAGAAGUACCUAAUAUCUCACCUAAGACUGACCUUGAAGCUCUGUGAGAGCAAGAAGUGAAGGCUAAGGCAGAGUUGCAAACUGCCAGGCUAAAUAUUGAAGGUCUGGUGAAACACAUGCACAAAGCCCAUCAGUGAAGGAUAAGAGACCUACUGAUUCCAGACAUUUAAGGAAAUCUCUAUCCAAUCAUUAGCUGACCAUUAAGCUAAACAAGCAGAGAUUUUAAUGGCCACACAUGACAAAGAAUACAGGUUUUACAAAUGCAUUCAGGAAAGUCAGUAAACAAACUGAUAGCAAACACAAUAACAAGCAGCAGCAACAAACCCCGAGGGGGUGAGUGACAUUUCCAGAGUUGCCAUAUUAUUUAAAAUGUUAAAUAUCUCCCAAAAAAUGAUAAAAUUUUAAAGAUAAAUAAAUAAAAUGUU
rnacentral:lncRNA from 1 species